CAGCAGCAUCCAUCAUCAGAAAGAGAAAAAACACUGAUAGAAUUGGAGUUUGUCUUCUCAAUAUCACAGCAUUUAACUCAAAAUGAACCGGGUGAGACGCAAAAUUCCAUGGGAAGCAAAAUGUGUCCCUUGCUGAAAAGGCUUUUCGAUGGAAGCAGAAAAAGGUUCUUAUGCUGUGAACGUUGUCCCACAUUCUGGACAUCAGGCUAGAAGAUCAGAACAACAAAAAAAUAAUUGCCAUCCUUCCUGAGCUUGAUUCUGUGCCUGCAGAGGCACCUCUGAAUCUCCCUGGGCCUCCUCUCUUACCAGAAUUACAAAGGAAAAAGCAGAAAUUAGUAUGAGCUAAGGGAAAGAGAAAAUACUUCCUAUCUCCCACAGAGAACAGACACACAGUUAAAGCCCCAAGGCCCUUGAU